rnacentral:misc_RNA from 1 species
UUUCCGUAGGUGAACCUGCGGAAGGAUCAUUAAAGAGUAAGGGUCUUCUAGGCCCGACCUCCCAACCCUUUGUUUACCAAACCAUUGUUGCUUCGGCGGGCCCGUCCCGGGACCGCCGGAGGACCGUCAAACGUCCUCUGGCCCGCGCCCGUCGAUGGCCCCUAUCAUUAAACUCUGAACCAAACGUGUCCUGUCUGAGUGAUUAUUAUCAAAAAUUAAAGCAAAACUUUCAACAACGGAUCUCUUGGUUCUG